CCUACGGGUGGCAGCAGUGGGGAAUAUUGGGCAAUGGGCGCAAGCCUGACCCAGCAACGCCGCGUGAAGGAAGAAGGCUUUCGGGUUGUAAACUUCUUUUAUGAGGGACGAAAGAAAUGACGGUACCUCAUGAAUAAGCCACGGCUAACUACGUGCCAGCAGCCGCGGUAAUACGUAGGUGGCAAGCGUUAUCCGGAUUUACUGGGUGUAAAGGGCGCGUAGGCGGGACUGCAAGUCAGAUGUGAAAAUUAUGGGCUCAACCCAUAACCUGCAUUUGAAACUGUAGGUCUUGAGUGAAGGAGAGGCAAGCGGAAUUCCGAGUGUAGCGGUGAAAUGCGUAGAUAUACGGAGGAACACCAGUGGCGAAGGCGGUCUGCUGGACAGUAACUGACGCUGAGGCGCGAAAGCGUGGGGAGCAAACAGGAUUAGAUACCCUGGUAGUC
rnacentral:rRNA from 1 species